ensembl:rRNA 5S_rRNA 5S ribosomal RNA
GUCUAAGGCCAUACCACCCUGAACACACCUGAUCUCAUCUGAUCUCAGAAACUAAGCAGGGUCAGACCUGGUUAGUGUUUGGAUGGUAUUUGAGAAGAGAUCUGUGUCCUUGUCU